GACGGAGGAUGCAAGCGUUAUCCGGAAUUAUUGGGCAUAAAGCGUCCGCAGGUGGACAUACAAGUCUGCUGUCAAAGUGCAGAGCUUAACUCUGUAAAGGCGGUGGAAACUGUAGGUCUUGAGUAUGGUAGGGGUAGAGGGAAUUCCCGGUGUAGCGGUGAAAUGCGUAGAUAUCGGGAAGAACACCAGUGGCGAAAGCGCUCUACUGGGCCAUAACUGACACUGAGGGACGAAAGCUAGGGGAGCGAAAGGG
rnacentral:rRNA from 1 species